GACGCACGCUGGCGGCGUGCUUAACACAUGCAAGUCGAACGGAGUGGCGAACGGGUGAGUAACACGUGGGUGAUCUGCCUUGCACUUCGGGAUAAGCUUGGGAAACUGGGUCUAAUACCGGAUAUUGCAAGAUGAGCUCGCGGCCAAUCAGCGUGUGGGUGGGGUAAUGGCCUACCAAGGCGUCGACGGGUAGACGGCCUGUGAGGGUGUACGGACACAUUGGGACGAAGAUACGGGCCAGACUCCUACGGGGGGCAGCAGGGGGGAAUAUUGCACAAUGGGCGGAAGCAUGAUGCAGAGACGACGCGUGGGGGAUGAAGGCCUUCGGGUUGUAAACUCCUUUCGACAGGGACGCGGUACCUGUAUAAGAAGCACCGGCUAAGUACGUGCCAGCAGCGGCGGUAAUUC
rnacentral:rRNA from 1 species